rnacentral:rRNA from 1 species
AGAGUUUGAUCCUGGCUCAGGAUGAACGCUAGCGACAGGCUUAACACAUGCAAGUCGAGGGGCAGCAUGGUAAGUAGCAAUACUUAUUGAUGGCGACCGGCGCACGGGUGAGUAACGCGUAUGCAACUUACCUAUCAGAGGGGGAUAGCCCGGCGAAAGUCGGAUUAAUACCCCAUAAAACAGGGGUCCCGCAUGGGAAUAUUUGUUAAAGAUUCAUCGCUGAUAGAUAGGCAUGCGUUCCAUUAGGCAGUUGGCGGGGUAACGGCCCACCAAACCGACGAUGGAUAGGGGUUCUGAGAGGAAGGUCCCCCACAUUGGUACUGAGACACGGACCAAACUCCUACGGGAGGCAGCAGUGAGGAAUAUUGGUCAAUGGCCGAGAGGCUGAACCAGCCAAGUCGCGUGAAGGAAGAAGGAUCUAUGGUUUGUAAACUUCUUUUAUAGGGGAAUAAAGUGGAGGACGUGUCCUUUUUUGUAUGUACCCUAUGAAUAAGCAUCGGCUAACUCCGUGCCAGCAGCCGCGGUAAUACGGAGGAUGCGAGCGUUAUCCGGAUUUAUUGGGUUUAAAGGGUGCGUAGGUGGUGAUUUAAGUCAGCGGUGAAAGUUUGUGGCUCAACCAUAAAAUUGCCGUUGAAACUGGGUUACUUGAGUGUGUUUGAGGUAGGCGGAAUGCGUGGUGUAGCGGUGAAAUGCAUAGAUAUCACGCAGAACUCCGAUUGCGAAGGCAGCUUACUAAACCAUAACUGACACUGAAGCACGAAAGCGUGGGGAUCAAACAGGAUUAGAUACCCUGGUAGUCCACGCAGUAAACGAUGAUUACUAGGAGUUUGCGAUACAAUGUAAGCUCUACAGCGAAAGCGUUAAGUAAUCCACCUGGGGAGUACGCCGGCAACGGUGAAACUCAAAGGAAUUGACGGGGGCCCGCACAAGCGGAGGAACAUGUGGUUUAA